rnacentral:rRNA from 1 species
GACGAACGCUGGCGGCGUGCUUAACACAUGCAAGUCGAACGGAAAGGCCCGGCUUUUGUGGGGUGCUCGAGUGGCGAACGGGUGAGUAACACGUGAGUAACCUGCCCUUGACUUUGGGAUAACUUCAGGAAACUGGGGCUAAUACCGGAUAGGAGCUCCUGCUGCAUGGUGGGGGUUGGAAAGUUUCGGCGGUUGGGGAUGGACUCGCGGCUUAUCAGCUUGUUGGUGGGGUAGUGGCUUACCAAGGCUUUGACGGGUAGCCGGCCUGAGUGCGUGACCGGCCACAUUGGUCCUGACAUACGUCCCAGAAUCCUACGGGUAGCAGCAGUCGGGAAUAUUGCGCAUUGGGCGGAAGCCUGAUGCAGCAACGCCGCGCGCGUGAUGACGGCCUUCGGUUUGUAAACCGCUUUCGCCUGUGCCGAAGCGUGAGUGACGCUAAUGGGUAAAGAAGCACCCGCUAACUACGUG